GAUGUGACUGCAGGACACAUGAACACCGAUAAGUUGAACGCAUAUGGCGCAUCGGACGUUUCAACCCGACCGAUGCACACAUCCUUGAGU
rnacentral:rRNA from 1 species